rnacentral:rRNA from 1 species
CCGGAGGGAAACCGAGUCUUAACCGGGCGUUAAGUUGCAGGGUAUAGACCCGAAACCCGGUGAUCUAGCCAUGGGCAGGUUGAAGGUUGGGUAACACUAACUGGAGGACCGAACCGACUAAUGUUGAAAAAUUAGCGGAUGACCUGUGGCUGGGGGUGAAAGGCCAAUCAAACCGGGAGAUAGCUGGUUCUCCCCGAAAGCUAUUUAGGUAGCGCCUCGUGAAUUCAUCUCCGGGGGUAGAGCACUGUUUCGGCUAGGGGGCCAUCCCGGCUUACCAACCCGAUGCAAACUGCGAAUACCGGAGAAUGUUAUCACGGGAGACACACGGCGGGUGCUAACGUCCGUCGUGAAGAGGGAAACAACCCAGACCGCCAGCUAAGGUCCCAAAGUCAUGGUUAAGUGGGAAACGAUGUGGGAAGGCCCAGACAGCCAGGAUGUUGGCUUAGAAGCAGCCAUCAUUUAAAGAAAGCGUAAUAGCUCACUGGUCGAGUCGGCCUGCGCGGAAGAUGUAACGGGGCUAAACCAUGCACCGAAGCUGCGGCAGCGACACUGUGUGUUGUUGGGUAGGGGAGCGUUCUGUAAGCCUGUGAAGGUGUGUCGUGA